AUGGCUUGCUCUUUCUUUUUCUUUUUCUUUUCUUUUCUUUCUUUCUUUCUUUCUUCCUUCCUUCCUUCCUUCCUUCCUUCCUUCCUUCCUUUCUUCCUUCCUUUCUUUGAAAAAAGGGUUUUAGAGCCAGGGAUUUACCUCAAUGGUGCUGUUGAGCACAAGGUCCUGAGUUUGAUCCCCUGUACUGCAAAAAGAAAAAAGUGUUUUAUGUUUUCUGUGCGUGGCCUAAACUUUUAAGUGAAAGAGGUAACUCUCUGGGGAUGGAUGCAGUCUUGGCAAAAGGACUCAGAGAGGAAGAACCACCAGGAGAGAAAAGGAAGUUCAGAGAAAAAAAAAAAAAUAAAAGUUUUCAGUUUAUCUGAAAUACUUAUAUGCUCAAGCCCUGGAGGCUGACCACCCUGGAGAAGAGAGUUCAGUGUUCCAGACGACUGGCAAGCUUGAAUGUCAGCACUCGCUGCCACUUGAGAGCCUCAUCAACGGUGGUCCAGAGCGAUGCUCUAAUGUCAGCCGCACUCAAUGUCACUGCACCGCACUCUCUCAGCCAGUUGUGUUUCAUGGCAAGAGAUUUUGGUUUGUAGAGAAAACCUUUAGGAAAACAACAAAUCUCUUUAGAGAGCUUCCUUUGAAGGCAAUCUACAUGGGUCCACUGGCUGAAACACAUUUUCAACAUGCUUCCGUGCCAGGCAGUUCUUAUACAACCUCUGUGCUCAAGGUCCCUUACAAAGCACUAUUGGGUAUGACUGGGACAAGUAUGGUAUAAAACAUGAAGAUGUACAGGGGGAUUAUGCAGACUAAAGGAAGAAAUAAGGUACAUAGUAAGUAUUUUCCAACUUUAAGCUUUGAAACAAAUCAGAAACAGUUGCCCUUUGGGGGUAUUUUGGUUUGCUCGGGCCGCCAUAAUAAAGUACCACCCAGAGGGUGACUCAAGCAACAGAAAUUUAUUU
rnacentral:lncRNA from 1 species